rnacentral:rRNA from 1 species
GACGAACGCUGGCGGCGUGCUUAACACAUGCAAGUCGAACGAAGAGCGAUGGAAGCUUGCUUCUAUCAAUCUUAGUGGCGAACGGGUGAGUAACGCGUAAUCAACCUGCCCUUCAGAGGGGGACAACAGUUGGAAACGACUGCUAAUACCGCAUACGAUCUAAUCUCGGCAUCGAGGAUAGAUGAAAGGUGGCCUCUACAUGUAAGCUAUCACUGAAGGAGGGGAUUGCGUCUGAUUAGCUCGUUGGAGGGGUAACGGCCCACCAAGGCGAUGAUCAGUAGCCGGUCUGAGAGGAUGAACGGCCACAUUGGGACUGAGACACGGCCCAGACUCCUACGGGGAGCAGCAGUGGGGAAUCUUCCGCAAUGGACGAAAGUCUGACGGAGCAACGCCGCGUGAGUGAUGACGGCCUUCGGGUUGUAAAGCUCUGUUAAUCGGGACGAAAGGCCUUCUUGCGAAUAGUGAGAAGGAUUGACGGUACCGGAAUAGAAAGCCACGGCUAACUACGUG